AUUGAACGCUGGCGGCAGGCUUAACGCAUGCAAGUCGAGCGGGGAAAGGUAGCUUGCUACCUGACCUAGCGGCGGACGGGUGAGUAAUGCUUAGGAAUCUGCCUAUUAGUGGGGGACAACAUUCCGAAAGGAAUGCUAAUACCGCAUACGCCCUACGGGGGAAAGCAGGGGAUCUUCGGACCUUGCGCUAAUAGAUGAGCCUAAGUCAGAUUAGCUAGUUGGUGGGGUAAAGGCCUACCAAGGCGACGAUCUGUAGCGGGUCUGAGAGGAUGAUCCGCCACACUGGGACUGGGACACGGCCCAGACUCCUACGGGAGGCAGCAGUGGGGAAUAUUGGACAAUGGGCGAAAGCCUGAUCCAGCCAUGCCGCGUGUGUGAAGAAGGCCUUUUGGUUGUAAAGCACUUUAAGCGAGGAGGAGGCUACUUGGAUUAAUACUCUAGGAUAGUGGACGUUACUCGCAGAAUAAGCACCGGCUAACUCUGUGCCAGCAGCCGCGGUAAAAC
rnacentral:rRNA from 1 species